GCCUGGGUGGCUCAGUCGGUUGAGCGUCCGACUUCAGCUCAGGUCAUGAUCUCCGGGUUCGUGGGUUUGAGCCCCACGUCAGGCU
rnacentral:tRNA from 1 species